UACGUAGGGUGCGAGCGUUGUCCGGAAUUACUGGGCGUAAAGAGCUCGUAGGUGGUUUGUCGCGUUGUUCGUGAAAACCGGGGGCUUAACCCUCGGCGUGCGGGCGAUACGGGCAGACUGGAGUACUGCAGGGGAGACUGGAAUUCCUGGUGUAGCGGUGGAAUGCGCAGAUAUCAGGAGGAACACCAGUGGCGAAGGCGGUUCUCUGGGCAUUACCUGACGCUGAGGAGCGAAAGUGUGGGGAGCGAACAGG
rnacentral:rRNA from 1 species